CCUGAGAGUGGCCUGUCUCCUUGUGAGAAGAGGUAGUGGGGACGUCUGCGCGGACAAAUGGAAGUAUAGGUGAUACUCUGAGGCAUCACCACCAAGCUGGGAACCGGGAAGAUGGCCGAGACUGACCCCAAGACCAUGCAGGAUCUCACCUUGGUGGUGCAGACACUUCUGCAGCAGAUGUAAGAUCAAUUCCAGACGACGUCUGACCAGAUAGAUCAUUGGAAGAAUUGAUGACAUGAGUAGUCCCAUUGAUGAUCUGGAGAGAAACAUCACCGACCUCAUGAUACAGGCUGGAGUGGAGGAACUAGAAGGUGAAAACAAGAUACCUGCCACACGGAAGAGUUGAAGGUCACUAGUAACUUUCACUGAAAUCUGGAACACCAUUUUUCUAAGCCAAGAGAAGACUGAAUGGCUUUUUGCAGCUAACUUCUAUGUGUAGACAGGUUUUAUAUUUCAAAAUGUGCAUUCUUAUCACGUACUAUAUAGUUAGUUUAUAGAGUGAUUUAUCACACAGUUUCUUGAACAUGAUAGCUUCACAUCUUGGACCUUGGUCAGUUGUGCUAUUAAUUACUAAACACUAAAACUUU